rnacentral:rRNA from 1 species
GACGAACGCUGGCGGCGUGCUUAACACAUGCAAGUCGAACGGAAAGGCCCUGCUUUUGUGGGGUGCUCGAGUGGCGAACGGGUGAGUAACACGUGAGUAACCUGCCCUUGACUUUGGGAUAACUUCAGGAAACUGGGGCUAAUACCGGAUAGGAGCUCCUGCUGCAUGGUGGGGGUUGGAAAGUUUCGGCGGUUGGGGAUGGACUCGCGGCUUAUCAGCUUGUUGGUGGGGUAGUGGCUUACCAAGGCUUUGACGGGUAGCCGGCCUGAGAGGGUGACCGGCCACAUUGGGACUGCGAUACGGCCCAGACUCCUACGGGAGGCAGCAGUGGGGAAUAUUGCACAAUGGGCGGAAGCCUGAUGCAGCGACGCCGCGUGCGGGAUGACGGCCUUCGGGUUGUAAACCGCUUUCGCCUGUGACGAAGCGUGAGUGACGGUAAUGGGUAAAAAAGCACCGGCUAACUACGUG